rnacentral:rRNA from 1 species
CGAACGCUGGCGGCGCGCCUAACACAUGCAAGUCGAACGAGCGAGAGAGAGCUUGCUUUCUCGAGCGAGUGGCGAACGGGUGAGUAACGCGUGAGGAACCUGCCUCAAAGAGGGGGACAACAGUUGGAAACGACUGCUAAUACCGCAUAAGCCCACGGUGCCGCAUGGCACAGAGGGAAAAGGAGUAAUCCGCUUUGAGAUGGCCUCGCGUCUGAUUAGCUGGUUGGAGGGGUAACGGCCCACCAAGGCGACGAUCAGUAGCCGGUCUGAGAGGAUGAACGGCCACACUGGAACUGAGACACGGUCCAGACUCCUACGGGAGGCAGCAGUGGGGAAUCUUCCGCAAUGGGCGAAAGCCUGACGGAGCAACGCCGCGUGAGUGAUGACGGCCUUCGGGUUGUAAAACUCUGUGAUCCGGGACGAAAAGGCAGAGUGCGAAGAACAAACUGCAUUGACGGUACCGGAAAAGCAAGCCACGGCUAACUACGUG